rnacentral:rRNA from 1 species
CCCGUGGCAGCAGUGGGGAAUAUUGGACAAUGGGCGAAAGCCUGAUCCAGCCAUGCCGCGUGUGUGAAGAAGGCCUUCGGGUUGUAAAGCACUUUCAGUGGGGAAGAAAGCCUUGGGGCUAAUACCCUCGAGGAAGGACAUCACCCACAGAAGAAGCACCGGCUAACUCCGUGCCAGCAGCCGCGGUAAUACGGAGGGUGCGAGCGUUAAUCGGAAUUACUGGGCGUAAAGCGCGCGUAGGCGGUCUGAUAAGCCGGUUGUGAAAGCCCCGGGCUCAACCUGGGAACGGCAUCCGGAACUGUCAGGCUAGAGUGCAGGAGAGGAAGGUAGAAUUCCCGGUGUAGCGGUGAAAUGCGUAGAGAUCGGGAGGAAUACCAGUGGCGAAGGCGGCCUUCUGGACUGACACUGACGCUGAGGUGCGAAAGCGUGGGUAGCAAACAGGAUUAGAUACCCCUGUAGUC